rnacentral:misc_RNA from 1 species
CGAAAUGCGAUAAUUAAUGUGAAUUGCAGAAUUCAGUGAAUCAUCGAGUCUUUGAACGCACAUUGCGCCCCCUGGUAUUCCGGGGGGCAUGCCUGUCCGAGCGUCAUUGCUGCCCUCAAGCACGGCUUGUGUGUUGGGCUUCCGUCCCUGGCAACGGGGACGGGCCCAAAAGGCAGUGGCGGCACCAUGUCUGGUCCUCGAGCGUAUGGGGCUUUGUCACCCGCUCCCGUAGGUCCAGCUGGCAGCUAGCCUCGCAACCAAUCUUUUUAACCAAGUUGACCUCGGAUCAGGUAGGGAUACCCGCUGAACUUAAGC